GCAUAGGUGGAUCAGUGGUAGAAUGCUCGCCUGCCACGCGGGCGGCCCGGGUUCGAUUCCCAGCCGAUGCA
rnacentral:tRNA from 1 species